AACGUAGGGGACAAGCGUUAUCCGGAUUUACUGGGCGUAAAGCGCCCGUAGGCGGCUUGAUAAGUUGGACGUGAAAGCUCCCGGCUUAACUGGGAGAGGCCGUUCAAAACUGACAGGCUAGAGUGAGGAAGAGGAGUGCGGAAUUCCUGGUGUAGCGGUGAAAUGCGCAGAUAUCAGGAGGAACACCAAUUGCGAAGGCAGCUCGCUGGGACGUUACUGACGCUGAGACGCGAAAGCGUGGGGAGCAAACAGG
rnacentral:rRNA from 1 species